rfam:TPA: Bos taurus chromosome 5, whole genome shotgun sequence.
CUAAAGGUUUUUUUCAAACCCAACCACAUUUUAAUUUUAGCAAUGU